ACCUACGGGGCGCAGCAGUGGGGAAUAUUGGACAAUGGGGGGAACCCUGAUCCAGCGACGCCGCGUGAGUGAUGAAGUAUUUCGGUAUGUAAACUUCUAUCCGCAGGGAAGAAAAUGACGGUACCUGACUAAGAAGCCCCGGCUAACUACGUGCCAGCAGCCGCGGUAAUACGUAGGGGGCAAGCGUUAUCCGGAUUUACUGGGUGUAAAGGGAGCGUAGACGGCGAUGCAAGCCAGAUGUGAAAGCCCGGGGCCCAACCCCGGGACUGCAUUUGGAACUGUGUGGCUGGAGUGUCGGAGCGGCA
rnacentral:rRNA from 1 species